rnacentral:misc_RNA from 1 species
UGAAACUUUGGAUUCCAUGAUACGAAAGAAAUCUCAGUUUGGGCACCAGAACCGACGCUCUUGAGAGGUGGAAACAUAACAGGCUCAGCAGGGUUCUCCAGAUCCCAUAUGCAAAUUUCCCCUCCAUCGGCCCCCGAUAAAAGCAGAUUGGGCGCGAGUGAAUUGAACUCCAGACCACGGACCGAUCCAGUAUGUCUCUCGAGACUCGCAACAACAACCCCUUCCUGA